UUCGCAAUGCCCGAAAGGGUGACGAAGCGACGCCGCGUGUGGGAAGAAGGCCUUCGGGUUGUAAACCACUGUCGGGAGUUAAGAAAUGCAAGAAUAUUAAUAGUGUCUUUGUUUGACUAAGGCUCCGGAGGAAGCCACGGCUAACUCUGUGCCAGCAGCCGCGGUAAUACAGAGGCGGCAAGCGUUGUUCGGAAUUAUUGGGCGUAAAGAGCACGUAGGCGGCUAUGUAAGUCGGUUGUGAAAGCCUUCCGCUCAACGGAAGAACAGCAUCCGAUACUACAUGGCUUGAGUGCGGGAGGGGAGAGUGGAACUUCUGGUGGAGCGGUGAAAUGCGUAGAUAUCAGAAGGAACGCCGGCGGCGAAAGCGGCUCUCUGGCCCAUAACUGACGCUGAGUGUGCGAAAGCUAGGGGAGCAAACGGGAUUAGAUACCCCGGUAGUCCUAGCCGUAAACGAUGGGCACUAAGUAGAGGGGUUUU
rnacentral:rRNA from 1 species